CCUACGGGAGGCAGCAGUGGGGAAUAUUGGGCAAUGGAGGAAACUCUGACCCAGCAACGCCGCGUGAAUGAUGAAGGUCUUCGGAUUGUAAAGUUCUUUUCUAAGGGAAGAAGAAAGUGACGGUACCUUAGGAAUAAGCCUCGGCUAACUACGCGCCAGCAGCCGCGGUAAUACGUAGGAGGCAAGCGUUAUCCGGAAUGACUGGGCGUAAAGGGGGCGUAGGUGGUUUGACAAGUUGGUAGCGUAACUCCGGGGCUCAACCACGGCACUACUACCGAAACUGUCGGACUUGAGUGCAGGAGGGGCAAGUGGAAUUCCUAGUGUAGCGGUGGAAUGCGUAGAUAUUAGGAGGAACACCAGUGGCGAAGGCGAUUUGCUGGACUGUAACUGACACUGAGGCACGAAAGCGUGGGGAGCAAACAGGAUUAGAUACCCUUGUAGUC
rnacentral:rRNA from 1 species